UUGUUUAUAAUUUUAUUAAACUAAGUAGUUUUAGAUGAAAACAUCUUAUGUUAUGAAACAUAGUACAUUACAUUUAGAAAAGUUUCAUAAAAAUGAUCACAUUAAUUAAUCACGAUUAUUUAAUAAUAACACUGAUUAGGCGAUCGGGUGUGGUUUUUAAUGCCAGAGAUAUGCUUGUAUCUCCGACUUUUGUCUUUGUCGGCUUUGUUUUUAAGACACGUGUCAAUUAGUAGUACCACUGGACGUUGUCCCGCAUUUUAUAAACCAAUGGUCUAAGAUCACCUGGACCCAUCCUCCUAAAUUAUGUAUCCACGGAUCCACCCCUCAUCAAUACACCGUUGGAUGGCUUUGAUCGAAAGGCGUAGACUCGGCCGACCCAUGCGCGUGUAUUGUUAUUUAUGAAGUUGCGUCUUAGCAGAGGCAAGUGGCGCGUGACGUAAGGCCUACGCAGCUUCAAAGAGGACAAGAACACAAGAGUGAUUACUGUGGCAUCACAAGGCUAUGACAAAAAAAAA
rnacentral:lncRNA from 1 species